GACGGAGGAUGCAAGUGUUAUCCGGAAUCACUGGGCGUAAAGCGUCUGUAGGUGGUCAAAUAAGUCAACUGUUAAAUCUUGAGGCUCAACCUCAAAACCGCAGUCGAAACUAUUAGACUAGAGUAUAGUAGGGGUAAAGGGAAUUUCCAGUGGAGCGGUGAAAUGCGUAGAGAUUGGAAAGAACACCGAUGGCGAAGGCACUUUACUGGGCUAUUACUAACACUCAGAGACGAAAGCGUGGGGAGCAAACAGG
rnacentral:rRNA from 1 species